ensembl:lncRNA
GAGGCAGAGAGAAAGAGGCAGAGAGAAAGAGACAGAGAGAAAGAGGCAGAGAGAGAUACAGAGAGAAAGAGAGGCAGAGAGAAAGAGGCAGAGAGAAAGAGGCAGAGAGAAAGAGGCAGAGAGAAAGAGACAGAGAGAGACAGAGAGAAAGAGACAGAGAGAAAGAAAGAGAGAAAGAGGCAGAGAGAAAGAAAGAGGCAGAGAGAAAGAGGCAGAGAGAAAGAGAGAAAGAGGCAGAGAGAAAGAGGCAGAGAGAAAGACAGAGAGAAAGACAGAGACAGAGAGAAAGAGACAGAGAGAAAGAGAGAAAGAGGCAGAUAGAAAGAGGCAGAGAGAAAGAGGCAGAGAGAAAGAGGCAGAGAGAAAGAGC